rnacentral:rRNA from 1 species
AUUGAACGCUGGCGGCAGGCCUAACACAUGCAAGUCGAGCGGUAGCACAGAAGAGCUUGCUCUUUGGGUGACGAGCGGCGGACGAGUGAGUAAUGUCUGGGAAACUGCCUGAUGGAGGGGGAUAACUACUGGAAACGGUAGCUAAUACCGCAUAACCUCGCAAGAGCAAAGAGGGGGACCUUCGAGCCUCUCGCCAUCAGAUGUGCCCAGAUGGGAUUAGCUAGUAGGUGAGGUAAUGGCUCACCUAGGCGACGAUCCCUAGCUGGUCUGAGAGGAUGACCAGCCACACUGGAACUGAGACACGGUCCAGACUCCUACGGGAGGCAGCAGUGGGGAAUAUUGCACAAUGGGCGCAAGCCUGAUGCAGCCAUGCCGCGUGUGUGAAGAAGGCCUUCGGGUUGUAAAGCACUUUCAGCGGGGAGGAAGGCGGUAAGGUUAAUAACCUUAUCGAUUGACGUUACCCGCAGAAGAAGCACCGGCUAACUCCGUGCCAGCCGCCGCGGUAA